UAGCUUUUCUGUUUUGAUGUGACUUGUGUUUGUCCUUGUGCUUGUAUCAGUAAUUGUUUGUAUCACUUAUGUUGUGCUGAGCAACCAGCCAAUUCUUACCUUCGAGCAGCAGCUAGGGCUUGAUAUAAAUUAUGAAUGUAAUCCAACAACAGGUUUGUAUUUUUUUGAUCCCUUGUCCCAAGAAGUGAAAAUGGUUUUUUGCAGAUGAAGCUCAUGAUUAUGUGGAGAGCAUAGUUUACAGUACACACCAAACAUGAAGUUGUGGACUGUUACAAAUUAAGAGCUGACUUAGAUAUUUCUAGCUUUUCUUUUUCUUUCAUGCCUUUGAAUUUUCUAAAGAUAUCAGUUUAUGUAGAGUGCUCUGGUGUGUUACUGCCUGCUGGUAUUUUAAAAUCAAAAUGGCAGACGGACCAUUGAAUUCCUAUCUUUCUUCCAACAAUCGGACCAUUGAAAUGAUUUUUGUACAAAUCAAUUGCCUCGAUAACUGAUAAAUUUCCUAUCCACCUCGGCAGCAAAACCUGCUAAAUGGUUGUUACUGACAUCAAAUGCUGACAAAACAGUGAUCCAACUCUCUCUUUGGGCUGCAAUAAGGGAUCAGAGUUUGGAGGAUUGGGUUCUCAACGUACGCAUCUUUGUUUCUGCCUUUUAAGGAAUUGCGAAGUCUUGAUUUGAGUUCUAAUGGAUUAGUUGGUUGCUCUGAGAAUCAAGGUUGGUUCAAUGUUUCUGUUCUUAUAAUCAUAAAAUAAAUUCAUAUUAUUGUGUGAAUCUUACACUGAAAUUACGCUGAUGAAGUGGCUAGUGUUGGUGGGAGAGACCACUGGUGGUGGCUCUGAUACCAAUUGUUGGGGAUUUCUGCUCCCCAUGCGGAACGGUGGUGUUCAUGAUCAUUGCUCAAAGGAGGCUAAGCAUACUAACACAAUAUUUAACGUGGUUCGGCUAAUCGCCUACAUCCACGGGAGAGAUCAAUAUUAUUAGAGAUAGAGAAAGAAUACAACACACGGAGGAGGAUCACAUCCACUCAACUCCCAUCUCUCAUUGCUACAUAGGGCAGCAGCUGCAUAUGGCAGCAGGGCUGCUGGUGGCAGCCCUUCUCUUUCUUUCUCUCUUCUUCUCUCUUUUGUAGCUCUACUACAAGACUCUCUCUCUCUUUAUGCUGCACUCUUGGUGUCUAUUUAUAGGCUUCAAUGACAGCUCCUCUUGCUCCUUUGUCAACAAUGGUGGCUGCCAAACUUACCAAACUUUGACAUUGGACAAUGGUUGUUGGCUGCCACCAACAACCCACCAUUGUAGCCUCCUUCUUUGACAAUGUCAAGGGGCUGCAAAUGCUGCAUCAGCAGCCCUCUUUGACUCUCACAUGGCAGCCAUCUUCUUUGACAAUGGCAGCCACAUAAUUGGCAAUAUUCCAACAAUCACCCCCUUUGCCAUUUAUGUGGGUAAUUGUCCUCUUGCCUUUUCUACACAAUGGUAUGGUCAAAACAUAAUUUUGACAACUUUCAUUUUU
rnacentral:lncRNA from 1 species